rnacentral:Y_RNA from 1 species
GGCAGGUCCGAAGGUAGUGCAUAAUUCAGUUGAUUGUUCACAGUCAGUUAUAGAUUGAUCUCUUUGUUUUACCCCUUCUCCCCUUCUCACUACUGCACUUGAUUAGUCUUAC